rnacentral:rRNA from 1 species
AGUCAAUAGAUACCCAGGUAGUCCACGCCGUAAACGAUGAAUACUAGGUGCAGGGGUUGUCAUGACCUCUGUGCCGCCGCAAACGCAUUAAGUAUUCCGCCUGGGGAGUACGGUCGCAAGAUUAAAACUCAAAGGAAUUGACGGGGGCCGCACAAGCAGCGGAGCAUGUGGUUUAAUUACGAAACAACGCGAAGAACCUUACCUAGACUUGACAUCUCCUGAAUUACUCUGUAAUGGAGGAAGCCCUUCGGGGUCGAGGAAGGACAGGUGGUGCAUGGUUGUCGUCAGCUCGUGUCGUGAGAUGUUGGGUUAAGUCCCGCAACGAGCGCACCCUUAUUGUUAGUUGCUACCAUUAAGUUGAGCACUCUAGCGAGACUGCCCGGGUUAACCGGGAGGAAGGUGGGGAUGACGUCAAAUCAUCAUGCCCCGUUACU